AUUGAACGCUGGCGGCAUGCUUUACACAUGCAAGUCGGACGAGUGGCGAACGGGUGAGUAAUAUAUUGGAACGUACCGAGUAAUGGGGGAUAACCAAUCGAAAGAUUGGCUAAUACCGCAUAUUAUCCGAGCGGCCAAUAUCGGAUUAGCUAGUUGGUGGGGUAAAGGCCUACCAAGGCGACGAUCAGUAGCGGGUCUGAGAGGAUGAGCCGCCACCAGGGGACGGAGACAAGGCCCAGACUCCGACGGGAGGCAGCAGUGGGGAAUAUUGCGCAAUGGGGGAAACCCUGACGCAGCCAUGCCGCGUGAAUGAAGAAGGCUUUCGGGUUGUAAAGUUCUUUCGGUAUUGAGGCGUUAAAUACAGAAGAAGCACCGGCUAACGACGUGCCAGCAGCCGCGGUAAUAC
rnacentral:rRNA from 1 species